AACAAACGCUGGCGGCGUGCAUAACACAUGCAAGUCUAACGGGAAAGUCGGCUUCGGCUGGCAAGUACCGUGGCGAACGGGUGAGUAACACGUGGGUAAUCUAACCUCGAGUUUGGGAUAACCUUGCGAAAGCGGGGCUAAUACCGAAUAAGACCACGCUCUGCUCGCAGAGUGCGGUAAAAGGCGGCCUCUUCUUGAAAGCUGUCACUUGAGGAUGAGCCAGCGGCCUAUUAGCUAGUUGGUGGGGUAAUGGCCUACCAAGGCGACGAUGGGUAGCCGUCCUGAGAGGGUGUACAGCCACACUGGCACUGAGAUACGGGCCAGACUCCUACGGGAGGCAGCAGUGGGGAAUUUUGCGCAAUGGGGGAAACCCUGACGCAGCAACGCCGCGUGAGUGAUGAAGGCCUUCGGGUCGUAAAGCUCUUUUAGUGGGGAAGAAUCCCACCCGGGUUAAUACCUCGGGUGUCUGACGGUACCCACAGAAAAAGUUCCGGCUAACUACGUGCCAGCAGCCGCGGUAACAC
rnacentral:rRNA from 1 species